rnacentral:rRNA from 1 species
AUUGAACGCUGGCGGCAUGCCUUACACAUGCAAGUCGAACGGCAGCAUGGGUGCUUGCACCUGAUGGCGAGUGGCGAACGGGUGAGUAAAGCAUCGGAACGUACCCGGAAGUGGGGGAUAACGUAGCGAAAGUUACGCUAAUACCGCAUAUUCUGUGAGCAGGAAAGCAGGGGCUCGUAAGACCUUGCGCUUUCGGAGCGGCCGAUGUCGGAUUAGCUAGUUGGUGAGGUAAAGGCUCACAAAGGCGACGAUCCGUAGCGGGUCUGAGAGGAUGAUCCGCCACACGGGGAUGGAGACACGGCCCAGGCUCCAACGGGAGGCAGCAGUGGGGAAUUUUGGGCAAUGGGCGGAGGCCUGAUCCAGCCAUGCCGUGUGAGUGAAGAAGGCCUUCGGGUUGUAAAGCUCUUUUGUCAGGGAAGAAAUAGUCUGGGUUAAUACCCUGGGCGGAUGACGGUACCUGAAGAAUAAGCACCGGCUAACUACGUGCCAGCAGCCGCCGUAA